GCCAGUAUGGCUCAGUCGGUUAGAGUUUUGGCUUUGGAGAGAAGGGUCCCGGGUUCGAUUCCUCGGGGGGUUA